ACUAUGGCUGAGUUGCUGACCUUCACGACGUGGCUGACAUCACGGGGCCUAAGAUUGGAAACGGCACAAGUCAUGAUUAAGGAGCUGGGCAUCGAGAGCCAAGAGUUGCUUCGAACCUGCACAGAGUCUGACAUGUUGAGAGCCGAGCUGUUAUCGAUCGCCAAACACAAGUUUGCUUUUGCAAUGUACGCCGAGCUGCAUAACUUCAUUUAUUCAUACUCGGAACUGCGAGCCAUCCAACCUACGGGCUCUGCCCUAGUGGGUGUUUUGUGCUCGAUGCUGAAUACCGUGAGUCAAGAGCUGUCUCACUGUGCCCAGAAGCUCAGCUUGUUGACGUCAACGGGUAACGAUGGACAGUUUCAGAAUGAUGGAGGGGUCAUCGGAAUCAGGAUAAGUGACGUAUGCAGCCUUCAUCCGGAGGAGGAUGGAGCAAGCUCCCAAUCUGCCUCCACUCUUCUGGGAAGGCUUUCCACUGGAUGUUGGAACAUUGCUGCGGGGAUUUGCUUCCAUUCAGCCACAAGAGCAUUUGUGAGGUCGGGCACUGAUGUUGAGCGAUUUGGUCUGGCUCGCAGCCGGCGUUCCAAUUCAUCCCAAAGGUGUUCAAUGGGGUGAGGUCAGGGCUCUGUGCAGGCCAGUCAAGUUCUUCCACACCGAUCUCGACAAACCAUUUCUGCAGGGACAUUGCUUUGUGCACGGGGUCAUUGUGAUGCUGAAACAGGAAAGGGCCUUCCCCAAACUGUUGCCACAAAGUUGGAAGCACACACUCAUCUGGAAUGUCACUGUAUGCUGCAGCAUUAAGGCUUCCUUUCAGUAGAACGAAGGGGCCAAGCCUGAACCAUGAAAAUCAGCCUCAGACCAUUAUUCCUCCUCCACCAAACUUUACGGUUGGCACUAUACAUACGGGCAGGUAGCGUUCUCCUGGCAUCUACCAAACUCAGAUUCAUCCAUCGGAUUGCCAUAUGGUGAAGUGUGAUUCAUCAUUCCAGAGAACGUGUUUCCACUGCUCCAGAGUCCAAUGGUGGUGAGCUUCACACCACUCCAGUUGACGCUUGGCAUUGCGCAUGGUGAUCUUAGGCUUGUAUGCGGCUGCUCGGUCUACAAACCCAUCUCGUGAAACUCUCGAUGAACAGUGUUUGUGCUGACUUUGCUUCCAGAGGCAGUUUGGAACUCGUUAGUGAGUGUUGCAACUGACGACCGAUUUUUGUUUUUUAAUUUAAUUUAAUUUAAUUUAAUUUUUUGCAUUUUUGCAUUUUUUUCUGUGCUACGUGUUUCAGCACUCGGCAGUCCCAUUCUGUGAGCUUCUGUGGCCUACCACUUUGCAGCUGAGCUGUUGUUGCUCCUCCACAAUUUCACGUCACAAUUACAGCACUUACAGUUGAUCGGGGAAGUUCUCGCAGAGCAGAAAUUUUAUGAACUGACUUGUUGGAAAGGUGGCAUCCUAUGACGGUGCAGCAUUGAAAGUCACUGAACUCUUCAGUACGGCCCAUUCUCCUGCCAAUGUUUGUUUAUGGAGAUUGCAUGGCUGUGUGCUUGAUUUUAUACACCUGUCAGCAAUGGGGGUUUCUGAAAUAACCAAAUCCAUGAAGGGACCCAUACUUUUGGCCAUGUACUAUAUAUAUAUACAUAUAUGUAUAUAUAUGUAUAUAUAUAUAUGUAUAUGUAUAUGUAUAUAUUGUUGCGGAUUCGCGCCCGCCGGCGUGCGAACGGCCACGUAACUCGAAUCGCGGCACGUCGCCCACCGGACGGACAAUCCAGUCGUGACCCUCUCGGACUAACGCCGGGAACCAGUCACGGGUGGACCUUUCGGUCUCACCACGAUCGUGCCAAUCGGCCCCCGCGUGGGAUAGGGUUGCUCGCCAAAUUCGACCUACCUAAGUACCCACACGGAGGGUAGACCGGGCGAUCGCACCUCGCCGCAGGUCGACUUCGGACACGGGCCACUUUAAGCGACCCGUUCCGUACUAUCGGGAUAACCGAGCGGUGUUAUUCGUCGGCCUCGACAGUUCGAUUAAUUAUCGGGUGUUUUAGCCCACGACCAACCCUUUACGUGAAGCAAGAUGGAGAUUCAAUGAAAGAAAAGACGAAGCGAAGCGGGAAAACAGUUCAACAUAACUCACAUUUAUUUCGCGAUGAACGGGAAGCACACAUAUACAAUUACACCAAAAGCACAUGUAAAAGGGAAACACAAUAUUACACAAAAAGCAAAUAUAAAAG
rnacentral:lncRNA from 1 species